GCCCUCGUAGCUCAAUGGUAGAGCGCGUCACUAGUAAUGACGAGGUUGCCGGUUCGAUUCCGUCCGAGGGCA
rfam:Erysiphe necator strain c c-strain-scaffold_10063, whole genome shotgun sequence.